AUGAAGAGGCUGCUGUGCUCUCUGCUAGGGCUGCUGUGCACCCGGGUUUGCUGGGUGAAAGGGCAACAAGUGAAGCAGAGUCCUGUGUCCUUGGUUCUGCAGGAGGGAGAGAGCACAGAGCUGCAGUGCAACUUUUCCACCUCUGUAAGACAAGUGCAGUGGUUUCACCAAAGUCCUGGGGGACACCUCAUCAGCCUGUUCUUCAAUCCUUCCGGAACAAAGCAGAGUGGAAGACUGAAGUCCACAACAGUCACUCAGGAACGCCGCAGCUCUUUGUACAUUUCCUCCUCUCAGAGCACAGACUCAGGCACUUAUUUCUGUGCUGUGGAUCCACAGUGCUCCCCACACACCUGCAGCCAGCACACAAACCUUCAGCUGGAGGUCAGCCACGUCAAGAAAGUGGAAGCGCAUCUUCCCACCCUGAGAGUGCAGGAGGGAGCCGGUGCUGUCAUCGCCUGCACAUAUGCACAUAUGACAUCUGUGGUGCAAGUUGAAGGAAAACCAGCAGAGGGCACCGUCUCUUCAGAUGUGGUUAAAGUGUACAUGCAGAUGGCAGCUUCAUGUGACAGACAGUCACUGUACAGAGGGAAGUCCUCCUUUAUAAGACGGGAGCUUCAAUAA